rnacentral:rRNA from 1 species
GUUAUAGGGUCAAGCGAACAAGUGCAUGUGGUGGAUGCCUUGGCGAUCACAGGCGAUGAAGGACGCGGUAGCCUGCGAAAAGCUACGGGGAGCUGGCAAACAAGCUUUGAUCCGUAGAUGUCCGAAUGGGGAAACCCACUCCGUAUGGAGUAUCCAUGGCUGAAUACAUAGGCCAUGCGAAGCGAACGCGGUGAACUGAAACAUCUAAGUAACCGCAGGAAAAGAAAUCAACCGAGAUUCCCAAAGUAGUGGCGAGCGAAAUGGGAUGAGCCUUGCACUCUUUAUUUGUAUUGUUAGCCGAACGCUCUGGAAAGUGCGGCCAUAGCAGGUGAUAGCCCUGUAGGCGAAAACAGUAUGAAAGAACUAGGUGUGCGACAAGUAGGGCGGGACACGUGAAAUCCUGUCUGAAGAUGGGGGGACCAUCCUCCAAGGCUAAAUACUCGUGAUCGACCGAUAGUGAACCAGUACCGUGAGGGAAAGGCGAAAAGAACCCCGGGAGGGGAGUGAAAUAGAUCCUGAAACCGCAUGCAUACAAACAGUCGGAGCCUCUUUAUGGGGUGACGGCGUACCUUUUGUAUAAUGGGUCAGCGACUUACGUUCAGUAGCAAGCUUAACCGUAUAGGGCAGGCGUAGCGAAAGCGAGUCCGAAUAGGGCGUUCAGUUGCUGGGCGUAGACCCGAAACCAGGUGAUCUAUCCAUGGCCAGGAUGAAGGUGCGGUAACACGUACUGGAGGUCCGAACCCACUAACGUUGAAAAGUUAGGGGAUGAGCUGUGGAUAGGGGUGAAAGGCUAAACAAACCUGGAAAUAGCUGGUUCUCUCCGAAAACUAUUUAGGUAGUGCCUCGUGUCUCACCUUCGGGGGUAGAGCACUGUCAUGGUUGGGGGGUCUAUUGCAGAUUACCCCGCCAUAGCAAACUCCGAAUACCGAAGAGUGCAAUCACGGGAGACAGACAUCGGGUGCUAACGUCCGGUGUCAAGAGGGAAACAACCCAGACCGCCAGCUAAGGUCCCCAAAUAUGGCUAAGUGGGAAACGAAGUGGGAAGGCUAAAACAGUCAGGAGGUUGGCUUAGAAGCAGCCACCCUUUAAAGAAAGCGUAAUAGCUCACUGAUCGAGUCGUCCUGCGCGGAAGAUGUAACGGGGCUAAGCCAUAUACCGAAGCUGCGGAUGCGUGC